rnacentral:rRNA from 1 species
UUAAAUUAAUUAGCAAGUGAAAAUUCUUGUUAAUAAAUAAUAGACGAGAAGACCCUUGAAAUUUUUAUUAAAAUUACAUAAACAUUUUUGUUGGGGCGACAAAUUAACAAUAAACUUAAUUAUUUAAUAAGAAGCCUCUUGGCAGCACAAACAAAUUACUCAAGGGAUAACAGCAUAAUAUUAUAAAGUUUGUGACCUCGAUGUUGGAUUAGGAUAUUAUAGUUUAGAAGAUUAAUUUAAUGGCUCUGUUCGAGCUUAAAUUCCUACGUGA